AACACAUGCAAGUCGAACGGAUCCUUCGGGAUUAGUGGCGGACGGGUGAGUAACACGUGGGAACGUGCCCUUUGGUUCGGAACAACUCAGGGAAACUUGAGCUAAUACCGGAUGUGCCCUUCGGGGGAAAGAUUUAUCGCCAUUGGAGCGGCCCGCGUCUGAUUAGCUAGUUGGUGGGGUAAAGGCCCACCAAGGCGACGAUCAGUAGCUGGUCUGAGAGGAUGAUCAGCCACAUUGGGACUGAGACACGGCCCAAACUCCUACGGGAGGCAGCAGUGGGGAAUCUUGCGCAAUGGGCGAAAGCCUGACGCAGCCAUGCCGCGUGAAUGAUGAAGGUCUUAGGAUUGUAAAAUUCUUUCACCGGGGACGAUAAUGACGGUACCCGGAGAAGAAGCCCCGGCUAACUUCGUGCCAGCAGCCGCGGUAAUUC
rnacentral:rRNA from 2 species